rnacentral:rRNA from 1 species
UUUCUGCCCUAUCAACUUUCGACGGUAGGGUAGUGGCCUACCGUGGUGGUAACGGGUGACGGAGGAUUAGGGUUCGAUUCCGGAGAGGGAGCCUGAGAAACGGCUACCACAUCCAAGGAAGGCAGCAGGCGCGCAAAUUACCCAAAUCCCAACUCGGGGAGGUAGUGACAAGAAAUAACGAUGCUCCGGCCAUUGGUCGGGUAAUCGGAAUGAGAACAAUUUAAAUCCCUUAUCGAGGAUCAAUUGGAGGGCAAGUCUGGUGCCAGCAGCCGCGGUAAUUCCAGCUCCAAUAGCGUAUAUUUAAGUUGCUGCGGUUAAAAAGCUCGUAGUCGGAUUUCGGGUGGCGCCUACCGGUCCGCCUUUGGUGAGUACUGGUAGGUACCACCUUUCUGCCGAGGACGGGGUACUGGGCUUAAUUGUCUGGGCCUCGGAGUCGGCGAUGUCACUUUGAGUAAAUUAGGGUGUUCAAAGCAGGCUUAUGCUCUGUAUACACUAGCAUGGGAUGACACGAUAGGACUUCGGUUUAUCUUGUCGGUCUGUAGAUCGGAGUAAUGAUUAAGAGGGACAGUCGGGGGCAUUCGUAUUUCGUAGUCAGAGGUGAAAUUCUUGGAUUUACGGAAGACGAACUUCUGCGAAAGCAUUUGCCAAGGAUGUUUUCAUUGAUCAAGAACGAAAGUCGGGGGCUCGAAGACGAUUAGAUACCGUCGUAGUCUCGACCAUAAACGAUGCCAC